ACAUAUGUUUCCAAGGCAUAUAAUUACAAAGAUCAUGAAGAAAGUACUUAUUGCAAAUGCUCCGCCUCUAAGCCCCGAUAUAAAACAUGUCAAACUACAUAAUACUCAAGUUCUUCCCAUUCCAUUAUUAGUUCAAAAAGAAAAAAUGAUUUUUUUUUGUUUUUCUUUGGACUUUAAACCCUCAAGAAAACUAUCAAGAACAUUAGAUAGAGUUGAUUGUUAGUUAGUUAAGAAACUAAUUGAGGGACCUAAGUGUAAAUAAAAGAACUUGAGGGUCAUAUUGUUAAAGAGUAUGAAGGGCACGUGUUUCUGUUAAAUAGAACAAUGCUCUACGGAAAUCAGUUGUAUCUUCUUCCUCUUCUGCUAAGCAAAAAUGGCUUUUUCCUCUCUUGAUUUCUUCUUCUAGAUUUCUCCAGAUUCUUCUCUAGAUUCAAUUGCAUAUUAUGAAACUAGAAUCAUUGAGUGUAGAUUCAACAAAUUAACAUGGUAUAAGAGCCUUGAUUGCUGUAAUUGCGCAGAUCGGAGUACUGUAAUUGUAUAACCUUGAGUUCAGUCAUGGCGAUAGAUGAAAUUGCACAAUUACCUCGCAAUCACCCACUGUUCCUUCGAGAUUCAGAUGCACCUGGAACAACAUUGAUCUCGUUAAAGCUCACAGGGCUAGAAAACUAUGCCAUAUGGAGUAGAGCUAAUGAGGGUUGCACUGUUAGUGAAGAACAAUCUAGGGUUUGUGGACGGUACAUGUGUAAAAGGAUCGCAUAAAGGAGAAUUAUAGACACAGUGAGAACGAUAUAAUGUUGUUGUAGUUUCGUGGUUGAGCAACACUGUAGCUGGUGAAUUGGUGCCUAGCAUCAUGUAUUCUUCUAGUGCGAAGAAGGUAUGGGAUGAGUUUAAAGAGAGAUUUGAUAAGGAUAAUUUGACUCGAAUCUAUCAACUUUGGGCUGAGAUUGCAAGUCUAAAGCAAGGAACUGAGUCGGUUACCUCAUAUUUCUCAAAAAUGAAGGAUUUAUGGGAUGAAUUGGACAUUUUAACACCAUUACCUUCUUGUGACUGUGAAGAAUCGAGGCCCUAUGUGGAACAUCUAGUGAGGCAAAGAUUGUUGCAGUUCCUUAUGGGACUCAAUGAGAGCUACAGUCAAGUAAGAAGCAAUAUACUGCAGAGAAGACCAGUUCUAUCAGUUAAUCAGGCUUAUGUAGUAGCUAUAGAGGAUGAGAGUCAAAGAACACUAGGUGUUCUGGAAUCAAACAAGGAACCUUUAACAAUGCUAGCAUGAAGGGGUCAAAUGUUCAAAAUCAAGAAACCAAGGUUGAUCUACGAGCAUUAUGGUUAUAAAGGCCACUUGAAGGAGAAUUGUUACAAAAUAAUAGGCUAUCCUCCAGAUUUUAAAAGCAAGAAGAAGGGGCAACUAGGUACAUAUAAACCUUUUGCUAAUAAUUCUAACAUAUAUGUAAGUAUUGAAACCAGUAAUCAGCCACAAGGAAACUAUCUCACAACAAAACAGUACAAACAGUUGGUAAACCUGUUGGAGAGAACUUCACUAGAAAAAAGAAAUGCAGGACCAUCAGAGUUAACUUGAUCUUCAAACGUGGAAGGUAUUAUGUCAUUGAUGUCUAGUGUAUCCAACAUAUGUGUUUAUGAUUGGAUACUAGACUCAGGAGCAUCGCAUCACAUAGCAUUUUGCAAGAAUGUAUUGGAUACCAUUAGACCUGUAAAAGGACAAAGUAGUUUUGGAGUACAAACAUCUACACGAGAUAGAUCUGAAAUCACACAUGCUGGAGAUGCUACAAUCCUAGAGAAUCAGAAAAUUAAGAAUGUUUUAUAUGUUCCAAACUUUAAGUUCAAUUUACUCUCAGUAUUGUGAGCACCACAAAUACAAAUAGUACUGGGUUAGAAACAAUCAGGGUUGAUGCAGAGCAAAAGUCUCUUGAAACUAACUCAAGCUGAUUGAGCAAAAGCCAAGCUGCCCAGGACUCAAAGCCACAAACCGACCACUGUUAGAACUGACAAAAUUUUCUUUGUUUGAAACAAGAAUAAAGCAGUGCAAGAAAAGUUGUUCAAAAAAAAAAACGAGAAAAAAAAAGAAGAAAUGAAGAGAAGAGAAGAGUCGACAAAGAGAAGUUUCUCAUAUCUUUGCCUUUAUUAGUCUUGCUAGUGUGCAUAAAAUCCUGUCAUCGCUCUUCAUAUUUUUUUCCUCUUAGGGUAAUAAAUCCUAGUCUGAUGGAUUUUCCUUCCAAUAAAAAUCUUAGUCUGAUGAAUCAUUCUUCUAAGAUAAAAAAAUGUAGUCUGAUGAAUCUUUAUCCUAUGAUCGAAGUCUUAGUCUGAUGAAUUUUUUUCCUAAGAUAAGAAAAUCUAGUCUGAUGAAUGUUUCUCCUAGGAUAAACAUCUUAAUCUGAUGAAGCCUUCUCCUAAGAUAACAAAAAAAAACCUAGUCUGAUGAAUCUUUCUCCUAGGAUAAACGUCUUAGUCUAAUAAAUAUUUCUCCUAAGAUAAGAAAACCCAGUCUGAUGAAUUUUUCUCCUAGGAUAGAAAUCUUAGUCUGAUGAAUCUUUUCCUAAGAUAACAAAAAAAAAUCUAGUCUGAUGAAUCUUUCUCCUAGGAUAAACACCUUAGUCUGAUGAAUCUUUCUCCUAAGAUAACAAAAAAAACCUAGUCCGGUGAAUCUUUCUCCUAGGAUAAACAUCUUAGUCUGAUGAAUCUUUCUCCUCAGAUAAGAAAACCUAGAUUGAUGAAUCUUUCUCCUAGGAUAAACAAUUUUAGUCUUAUGAAUCUUUCUUCUAAGAUAAGAAAAUCUUAGUCUGAUGAAUCUUUCUCCUAAAAUAACAAAACAAAAAAAAUUCCUAAUCUGAUGAACUUUCUCCUAGGAUCAAAGUCUUAGUCUAAUGAAUUUUUCUCCUAAGAUAAGAAAACCUAGUCUGAUGAAUUUUUCUCCUAGGAUAGAAAUCUUAGUCUGAUGAAUCUUUUGUCGUGCCCCCUUUUUCCUUCGCGAAGUCCGGGUUUCGACAUUCAUGGGGAACAAUUCGUUUCCUUUUGGGAAUUGGGUAUUUGAAUAGUCGCCACCUAACAGUUUAAGGUGUGUUAGGGCACCUAAAGCGAUUAAGUCAUAUAACUAGUUUGCAUUACCAGAGAUUAGGGUAAGGGCUCGAAAUAACCUUGAGGGGAAGUUGUUAGGCAUUCCUCGCGGUCCACAAUGGUGGGUCCCGACCGAACUUAAACUAUGUGAAUUAGUCAAUUAACAAGUAAGCACGUAUUUGCAAAUAAGGUAAUUUCCCCCCAUCUAAAUGCAUAUAUGAUCAAGGAAGUUUAGAUAAUGGGGGUAAAAGAGGUUUGGACAGCUUACACACGUAUAUGUAAAGAAAAGGGAAGUUUAGAUAAUUUAAACACAUAUAGAAAUUGGGAAAGGGAAGUCCUAAGUUGAUUAACCUACAGGAUCAAUCUGUGCAAUACCCGGUAAUCCUCCUCAACUUGAGGGGUUACACGUGACAUUAGCGUGCAGGUCAUCAUAUCCUUUUACUACCCAUUAUCCUCCCCUUAAUGGUUAUAUAAGUGAGUUUGAUUAACGACCUCUAAGCGUGCUGCUACCCGUCCCUUCCUUGUGGUCCUGGAGGAGCUUAGGACCUCUAAAUCUAGGCAGUUCUAGACAAACUUAAGGUAUUUAAAAGGCAAAAAUCUAGGCGACAAACAAAUAACAUGUAGGACAAGCAAAUAGAGAAAAAACAGUUAAAAGGCUCAUGUUUACCUCCACAUGUAUUAGGCAAAUAGACAGCACGUCCCAAACAGUUGAUUUUGAAGAAGUUCAGAAAGCCUAGGAAUAUGGUAUCUAGAUGAAUGUUACAGAUACAUGAUAUGCAACGUUUGUUUUAAGGGAAGUGGCAGAAUACUAACUAGUUUGCCUACUGGUUUUAUAGCCUGUUAAGCCUGGAUAAUUUCACACAUAAACAGAACUAGAUUUCACAGUUAUUUAAUGGCCUAAGGCUUGCCUAGGCAUGUGUCUAUGUGCAGUCAUGAUCUGAGAAUUAAUUAAACAGCUUGAAGUGAGUUAAUCAUAUAGGCAUGCUGAUCUAAGUGACAAAGACUAAUUUUAGACAUGCUGACAAUAGGACGUGAUAUCUAUGCGUUUGGACUAUUUUUAAACCCUUUUUGUAGACAGCUAUUGAUUUGAUCGAAAUAGACAUGGUUCAAACAAAUGCAAAUAGAGUUCUUAGAAAACAUGGUAUCUAAUGCAUACAGGAGAUGACUAAAUUUUUUAAGGCAGGAUUAUUAACCUAAUAGCAGGAUCUCUAAGUGAAAAUACUUAUGCAAAAUCAAAGCUCGAAUAGAGAUAUAUGACAUGUAGUAUGUUGAAGUAAUAAGCGUGAAUACCCUAAGAACAGGAUGUCUAGCGUGCAGGUUUAACAUGGUUUAAAUGCAAAUAGACACACCAGUCCUAGAACAUGAUUUCUAGUGAAGAUUUGCGUAAUGUAAAGCCUAAAAACAUGAUUUCUACCCAGCAUUACCCCAUAGUACCAUACAGCUACCCUUCCGUUUCACUAGUUACCCUAAUAUCUGCUUACAAAUAAUUAUUAUAGACCAAAAUUAACUAAAUUACAUAAAUGCAAUAGAAAUUAAGCUAUAGGGAGCCUGAUGCAGGCCCAAGGCAAACCUGAAGUACCAGGUCUUCAGUAGUCUCAAAUGCCCAAGAUUUCAUUGCCACAUUUGUGUCCAGGUGUGUCAGAGUUCCCUAAGGACCUCAAGGAUCCUAGGCAGUGAUCACACCCAGACUUUCUCAAAUAAAGCCUGAUUAUGUGUAGUGUGGAAGAGCCAGCCCUGAUAUGCCAAAGUUCAGAGAGAUCUCAAGGAUCUCUAAGCAGUACGCAUACCAGAGGGGCAUGACUUAAUAACCUAAGAGUAAGUGAGAGUGCUUGACAUAAUUUUGAAAAUGUUUUGGUAAACAGUAUAAAGAGGACUCUUAGGAGUGAAAGAUUUUCUGAAAAUCAGAACUAGUUUUGGUGGUAAAACAACUUGAGAAAAGUAUGAAAACACUUUGAAAUCAGAACACAAAUCAUAGAACAACCAGAUUCAGAAACACUUGGCAAACAAACUCCACACAGGGAGAGAGGGGUUGGGGACACAUAGUAUACACCUUACUGUAUAGUGGAGCACAUAAGCAACCAGAUGCACAGAAUUCUCAAGAGCUUGUAGAAUUAAUAAGUUAGAAAGGGUAGGUGAUUGAGACAUGGAGCAGAGAUUACAACAAAGACAUGUUGAGAACACAUAAACCUUGGACAUGACCAAACACACAACUAGAAUUGCCUUGAGAGACUAGAUGACUUAGCAUGAUCCCAUUAGUAAAGCAGAGUAGGCAAGGACUUAAAUGAGCAAACUAGGCAAACACCACACAAGCACUUAUAAUGUAGACAUUCUAAUCACACACUAAACAAAAUAAGAUUUAGACAUGCUAGAUAAACAGUAAACAGGCAAGUAUAAUUUACACAUGCUAAUCACAUAUUGAACAUGACAGCGUUAGGCAUGCUAAGCAAGACACUAAACAGGAACAAGAAUGGAACUCAUAACUGAUGAACUAAGGUAGUAAUGAAACACAUAGGGUUUAGAUUCUAAAAUUAAAUCAGAGACAUACCAAUUAGGGAAAGAGAACACAAGAUGUAAAGCAGAUGUUGUGCAAUAUCUAACCUUGGCUUACAGCAGGCAAGACUAAUGAAUAUCGCAAGUAGAAAAGAAGAACAUAGAGCUUUUUAGAGUGUAAGUGUAGUGGUGAACUAAUGUUCGUGUCCAGAAGUGAAAAUAGAGGAGAGCAUAUAUAUUGGUUAAGAAUUAAAUCGAAUAAGGUAACAGAUUAAUUGUUCAGCAAUUAAGGAAAUUUACAGACUCAACAAUGCAUAAAAUCAGUAAGGUUUCCCCUAAUUAAGGGGUAAUCAACCAACGGUAAAGGGCAGGAAAGUAUUUAAGGAAAGAAGAAUCGAGUAAAACUUAAGCACAUAAUGGGCAAUUAAGGGUAAAUAACAUGGGUUUAAUUAAGAAAACCAUUUUGAGGAAUCUGUGAGUAUCAUAGUUGAUUCUAAUAAGGUAAGAAAAUAAUUAGAAGGUGUAAAAAUAGGGAGAUAAUCAAAACCAACACAUAGGUUUUAAUAGAGCAAAUAAAUGAAUCAAAAUUCAAACAAAUAACACCAAUUUAAGGGAGAAUAAUAUAGAUUUCCAUGAAUAAACAAGUAGGCCAAGUAUAAACACACAAAAUCAGUCGAGAAUCGAAUCAUAAACCCUAAUAAAGACAUACUAGGGUAAAAAUCAUAAGAUAUCGAAUUAACAGCAACAACAACAACAACCCAGUAUAAUCCCACUUAAUGGGGUCUGGAGAGGGUAGUGUGUACGCAGAUCUUACCCCUACCUUGGGGUAGAGAGGUUGUUUCCAAAUAGACCCCCGAUAUCCUUCCCUCCAAAAAUUUCCCACCUUGCUCUUGGGGAGACUCGAACUCACAACCUCUUAGUUGGAAGUGGAGGUUGCUUACCAUCAGAACAACCCCUCUUGUCAAGAUAUCGAAUUAAGCUAAAGGAAAAUCACAAGAAUCAAAGCAUAGAAUGAAAAAAGUGCACAAGUAAUAUGGUCAAACUCAGAGUCAAAGCAAAAAUGUCAAAAAAUGGGGUUUUAGCAUAAACUAGUUAGGGUCGAGGCAAACUCAACAUAAUCGGUCAAAAGCACAUAAGAAUAGCGGAUCAAACAUCCAAAGUCAGAAAACGUUUUGGAGAAAAGGAUUUUCAGGAAACCCUAGUUUAAGAAAAUGGAAACCCACUCGUAAAACCAGAAGAUUUUCAUAAAAAACAAGUGAAAUAAGUUCAAUCUAUCUCAGAUAUGUACAUAUUUGAGAAGUUCAAAAGAUGAAAUUAGGGUUUUAAGAAAUAAUACAGAGAUGAAGACAUAGGUUUAGAACUCCACAGGUUCAAGAUGAAAAAUAAGAAAUUCUUACUCGAAAUCGAACCAGAAUGACCUAAAACAGGCGAGAAAGAACCAAAGGCGUAAGCGGACUAACCCUGGUCCCUUGAGGACCUUAGAGACGGAAGUACCCAGCAUAGGAGAGGCCAUUAGAGGCCCGAGGUGGUGAGAAACCACCAUGGAUGGCAAUGGAUGAGUGACGGCGAGGGUGAGUUAGGGUUAAGAUUAGAGAGCAUUUGAGAGAAGGAGAGGUGAGUGACGGCGGGUGAGAGGAGAGAAUGAGAGGUUUGGGGAGGGGGGGAGUCGUUAGGGUUUAAUUAUGGUAGGGAAAAUCUGGACCGUUGAUCAUUUUGAUCAACGACCAGGAUUGGCCAGGGUAUUGGGUCGGGUGAAUACAGAUUGGGCCUAAAGGGUUUUGGGAUGGUUUUUGGUUUAAUAUUAAGGGGGUUUUGGGCUGGUAUUAAAAGGGUUAAGUCUGAAAUAAAAAGGGCUAUUUAUUAAAUACCCAAAUAAUUGGUAAAAAAUAUUUUAUAAAAAUAAUUUUCAUGCAUAGAAAUGCUUUACAAUAAUUACUCAAUAUUUUAAAAAUGCAACAAGUUAUUUUCUGGUAAAAUAAUGCAUGCAUGAGCAAUAAUUGCAAAGUUAUUGCAAUUAUAACAAAAAAUGUAGAUAUGGCUACUUAUGAAAUAAUUUGAGCUUAAUGAAUAUAAACAGCAAAAUUAAACCAUGAAAUAUUUAUAAAGUCCUUUGCGAUGCGAUUUGUAAUUAUAAAAUAUCCGCAUAAAAUUAAUUAAAAAUCCCUAAAAAUGUAGAAAUUAUGAAAAAAUGUCAAUUGAUGCUAAUGCAUAGUUUUGAAGUUGUAUAUGUAUUUGAAAAAAUAUUAUAGGGAAAAAUAGGGUAUCAACAUCUUUCUUCUAAGAUAACAAAAAAAGUCUAGUCUAAUGAAUUUUCUCCUAGGAUCGAAGUCUUAGUCUGAUGAAUUUUUCUCUUAAGAUAAGAAAACCUAGUUUGAUGAAUCUUUCUCCUAGGAUAGAAAUCUUAGUCUGAUGAAUUUAAAUCUUUAUCCUAAGAUAAAUAACCUGGUCUUAUGAACUUUCUCCUAGGAUAAAAAUCUUAGUCUGAUGAAUCUUUCUCCUAAGAUAAACAACCUAGUCUGAUGAAUCUUUCUCCUAAGUUAAAAAAAAACCUAGUCUGAUGAAUCUUUCUCCUAAGAUAAACGUCUUAGUUUAAUGAAUUUUUCUCCUAAGAUGAGAAAACCUAGUCUAAUGAAUUUUUUCCUAGGAUAAUUUUUAUAAAUAAAGAGAGAAGAAGUCUUGUUUGAAAAAAAAAAUCGUUUGUUCAUGCCCUCAGAAAAUAAGCGCUGUGGCAUUUUGUUUAAAAGAAUGAUUUUCUCAACAAAAAAAAAAUCCUUCUUGGUUUGUUUUAGACAUAGGGUCUCCACUCUCUAGUCUCCUUUUCCAACAUAGGGUCCUCACUCCCUAGUUGAUGACAGCAUAACCUGAUGCCAACAUAGGGUCUCCAUUUCCUAGUUGAUGCCAACAUAAGGUCCUCACUCCCUAGUUGAUGCCAACAUAACCUGAUGCCAACAUAGGGUCACCAGUCCCUAGUUGAUGCCAACACAGGGUCCCCACUCCUUAGUUGAUGCCAGCAUAACCUGAUGCCAAUAUAGGGUCUUCAUUCCCUAGUUGAUCCUAAUAUAGGGUUCCCACCUCCUAGUUGAUGCUAGCAUAAUCUGAUGCUAACAUAGAGUCCCCACUCCCUAGUUGAUGCCAGCAUAACCUGAUGCCAACAUAGGCUCUCCACUCCCUAGUUGAUGCCAGCAUAACCUGAUGUCAGUAUAACAUAAUGCCAACAUAUGGUCACCAUUCCUUAGUUUAUGAUUUUCCCUAAUUGAUUUCAUUUUAGAUAUAGGGUCUCCACUCCCUAAUCUCUUUUUUCAAGGAUACACAAUCCUGAUUUUUGUUGCUUUCAAUAAUGAGGUAGUAUAGAGUUUUGGUUACAAAUAACUCACGAAAUUUUUCCUAGUGAAAACUGGGACAGAAAAAUUUUGUUCGUUUGUUUUGAUGCUUGAGCAGGUUAAACCUCGAGGCGCAAGAUAAGAGACGACCGAAAGAAGAAGUCUCAAUCCGGAAUAAAAGAAAAGAAGAAAAGAAAAAGAAGUGACCUCAAAGUGCAGAAGUGGAGAAAAGAUGUGGACUGCUCAAGAUAUGAUUGAAGUCACAAGCUUUGCAUGCCCCGCCUUGAUUCGAAAAGCUAAAGUAGAAUGAACCAGCACUUGCAGCUAACAAGCAUCAAGAUUCAGAUCAGAGUCUGCAUGAAAAACCAGCCAAGACUCAACAUCAAGCUUCAAAAGAUUUAUAGACAGGAAUCUUGUAACUCGUAGCUGGUAGGUUUAACUAGUUUAGUUUUUCAUUUUGAUUUUGGUGUAAUAAGGAGCUCAGCAAGCAGAAACAGCAGCAACACCAGUGAAAUCACAGCUAUCCGGUAGUUCCAGCAACCAAAACUUCCAGAACUAUACUGACCUGAUUUCUUUAUAGCCAGGAUAUGUAGGCAACCUCCGAAGCAAGGUUCGGUAAGACUUUUUCAAAAAAUGCUUCCCAUGGGGUGUCAAACGGACAAAAAUUGCUCGUAAUUACUCACUUUUCUUUGCUCGAAAACUCUUCAUGUUUCCGAGCAAAGAGGGGCAACUGUGAUCAUCUAAUUUUGCCCUGCAUGGAAAUAACUCCUAAAAAUAGACCAAAAAUAAUUUUAAUGGAUUUUAGGAGUUUUUCUUUAUUUAGUUGCAUUUCAUGCAUGUUUAAUAUUUUAAAAUCAUAAGAAAAAUCAUAAAAAAUUAUCACAUUUUCGUUUCAUGUCAUCGUAGGUUUAAUUUACAUUUUUAGGAAUUAACUACUCUUUACUUGUUAGAAUUAAUUCAUAAAAAAUCAAACAAAAUAUUUCAUGCAUUUGUUAUUAGAUAAAUAGAAUUUGCUAAUGAGAUUUAAGUUAGAUUUUAAUUUAUUUGUUCAAGAAUUUAAAAUCAAAACGAAAAGAAGACAAAGAAAAAAAGGGGAAAAGCUAUUUUUGGGUCUAAAUUCGGACAUGGGCCAAUUUUCAUGGCCCAACUCCCUCGAAACCCGUCCAAGCCACGCCUGCCAGGCCCAACCGGUCCCCCUCCCCUUUAAAUAAAAGAAAACCCUAAGACCUAAAGAAGAGGACCCUUUCCCAAAAAUAGAACCCCUCCCCCUCUUGGAAAAAAUGAAAACGGCGCACCCCCUCUCUCUUUCCCUUCACUCUCUCUCUCUCUGUAUAAACGACCACACACACAAAAAAAAAUACACACACACAAAAGCAGUUAGCAACAAGCGAAAAACCAAGAAAAAUUGGAAGUUCUGAAAGAUUUUGAAAGCUGAAAACGACAAAAGAGGUUUCAAAAUUAGAAGAAAAUUGGGGGGAACAGGGAGUUUCGAAGGCUCUGCUGAUUUUCGCUGCUUUAUCUCUCCAAUUUCUAGGUGUUCGAGUUUUGAUUUUGAUUUUAGAAGCUGAAGUUAUGUUUUGCUACUUCUACUUUCGCUGAGCUCCAGCUUUCCCUUCGCCUUUAUUUGAUUAUUGAAGUUUAUCUCUACUGCUGUGUAGAGGUAUUUAUAUCAAUCUCGAAAUGUAAUGGUUGUUCGGACAUCCAUGUGCUAUAAAUUUGCUGAAAUUUAUUUGUGUAUAUAUGGUGGAAUUGUUCUUUGAUGUUUUCUGUUUGUUCAUUGAUAUUUAUUUUAAUUCAGCGAAAUUGAAGUGAUAUGGGACCUUAUAAGUACAAGAAAUGAAAUAAUACCUUCGUAUAACUCUAAUUUUUUCCUCCUUUUGUUCACGUCUAAAAGGAUAAAGGAAUUUUGCCUAACAGCAACUGGUUGGUUUGAAAAGAAUUACGGGCUUAAGUUGUCUGAAUUUACUAAUUAGGAUUAUAGGAAUAACAAAGACAGAGUAAAAAAAGAGAGGAAAUCGGUAUUAAUCUUACAUGAUUAUUCCCUCUUUAUGAAUUUGUUUUUCUCCUUUGAGUAUUUAUGUUUUUUUUUACAUUUUUAGUAAUAGGAUAUUAUUAUGCUAAUAUAGAAUCGUGUUUGUUCUCUGAUGCAUCUAUUUGGUAUUGUUGGCUAUAUUGGCUUUGAUUUAGUUUUAGCAUCAAAUAAAUGUUCAGGAACCUUAAUAGAAAACACGAUUAUGUACUGAGCCUUACUUUAUAAAGUAUGAACAGUUUGUCUGAUUUGGGUCUAAUCUCUGUUGAGCAUCACACGCAUAGAAGGAAAGUAUGAAUAAGAGUUAAAGUUAGAGGCAUAAAUUAGUCGUAUUUUCAUAAGUAAUUAUAGAAUAGCCUGGAUGUAAUCUUGAUUCUGAAUUAGUUUGGUACUCUUUUGUUUCCAUUUCAUUGCCCCUUUUGGUUGAAAACUAAUGCACGAACAUGUGGGUUCUCACGUAGAAAUGAAUCAGUGUAUGAAAACAAGUGCAAGCAAUUGAUUGAAUCAAAUCUGCCAACUCUAUGAUUGUUCGUAAUGAUCAGUUCUUUAUUUACCACAAUUAAUCUCCAUAACUCAAGGUCUUACAAUAAUCUCAAACUUAGAAAGAAAUAAUCAUGAACAUCGUAGCUUACUUUAGGCACGAUUAAUUUUAAAUCAUCGUGACUAUGGAUACGGUUCCCGUAGCAUAGUCAUGAUAUAUAACCCAAAUUCGAGUGUGCGUUUCACGCUACUCGAUCUCAAAUUCAAAUAAUAAUAAAUUAAACAUAUUGUAGAUCAUGUGUAAGUUUCCGUACGCAAUUCGCAAUGUGUACAAAACAAACAAGUGCGCGACAUCGCGACUUGUUCAAACAAAUACCAUAAAUAAUUAAAAGUGGUAAAAGGUAAAAUGCACGUAGGUUUAAAAUACGUAAUUGAAUAAAGUUAAUUAAGCCAGGUAUGAUUAAAGUGACCGUGCUAAAACCACGGAAUCUGGGAAUGCCUAAUACCUUCUCCCAUAUUAACAGAAUUCCUUACCCGAUAUUUUGGUUUCACAGACUUUAGAACAAAGUCAAAUUUCCUCGAUUUGGAAUUUAAAAUAAGCCGGUGACUUGGGAUACCAUAAAUUAUCCCAACUGGCGACUCUGAAAUUAAAUAAAUAAUCUUAUUUCGAUUAAUGUCACUUUAAUUGGAAAAACUCCCUAAUCCUUCUCGAGAAAAAGGAGGUGUGAUAAGUAUCCAACCUGACUAAGGACCUAUGCUGCUCUGCAUGUUUUUUCCCUGAUUUUUAUGUGUUUGAGGGACUAUACAGUGGCAGGGUGCUGGGGAUUGGUAAAGAAGAUAGUGGACUUUGCAUACUUAGUAGAGGAGACGUAGUUGUUGCUAGUUCAUUUCACAAAAAAAGGAGUAACAACCACAACGUGACAUCAAAGGCUAGGACAUGCCUCUACACAUGCUAUGCAACAUUUGCCAGAUUUGAAGAAUAAAGUAAAGCUAGAGAUGCAAAAGGACUGUCAAAUUUGCCCUUUAGCUAAAUAAAGUAGACUGAACUUUCCCAUAAGUAAUAGUAGUUCAAACUGUGUGUUUCAAUUAGUGCAUGUUGAUGUAUGGGGUCCUUACAAGGUAGGAACCUAUGAUAGAAAAUAAUAUUUCGUCACUUUAGUUAAUGACUACAGUAGAUAUACACGGACUUGUUUGCUGAAAUCAAAAUGUGAAGUUUUUGUUGUCUUGAAAGACUUUCUUUUGAAGUUUUUGUUGUGCUGAAAGACUUUCUUUCUUUGGUUAAAAAUCAGUUUGGUGUGAUGGUUAAGACUUUGAGAACAGACAAUGGCACAGAGUUUUUCAACAGUCAGUGUAGUGAGUUGUUUAAUGCACUUGGGAUUGUUCAUCAAAGCAGUUGUCCAUACACUCCAAAACAGAAUGAAGUGGUGGAAAGGAAAUACAGGCAUAUCCUUGAUGUGGCUAGAGCACCCAAGAUUCAAAAUAAUAUGCCAAUCAGAUUCUGGAGAAUGUGUUAGAAUGGCAGUAUACCUCAUCAACAAGAUACCCACACAGGUCUUAAAAAAACCUCCACGUGAAUUGUUGUAUGGUAAACAACCAAGUAUAGAUCAUUUGAGAGUAUUUGGUUAUUUGUGUUAUGCAAGUACCCUUCCUACCGGAGACAAGUUUGCUGCUAGAGCAAAGAGGGUGGUAAUGAUAGGGUAUUCAGAGACACAAAGAGGAUACAAACUCUUUGAUCUCGAAUUUAACAUUUUCUUUGUCAGAAGGGAUGUAACCUUUAGAGAAGAUAUUUUUCCCUUUCAAGGUGAAGAAAUUUGUCAAGAGGAUUUGUUCAUUCUUGCACCAGCAAACAUGAACACUAUUGCACCGAGAACAUAUGGUGAUGGUGUUUCUGUUAACACUUAGGAAGACUUAAGCAAUGAAAACAUGGAGGAAGAGGCAAUCCCUGCUCUUCUCCCUCAACCAAGCAAUACAACAACAGAUUUAUCAGCUGCAGAUUUGGAUGAGCCAACAGGAGUUAAUGCAGACAUUCCAAAUGCAUCUGAAGAUAUUGUAGUUGAACCUCUAGCCAUUAUGCAGAAAGCUGAAGCAGAUUUGCAGGAACAACAAGUAGCAACUCAACAAUUUCAGUCAAUUGAACCUGCUAUCAAUGCAGAAGCUCCAAUCCUUAGAAAAUCCACCAGAGGCACAAAGCCAGCAAUUUGGCUCAAAGAUUAUAUUACUGGAUUGAAGGCAUCAGGACACAUUGUCUAUCCAAUCUCUAAUUAUGUCAACUACACACACUCUCCAGAACACUAUCAAGACUACCUCUCCAGUUUCUCUACUCUCACAGAACCAAAGACUUUCUAUGAAGCCUCCACAGAUGAGAGAUGGAUUCAAGCUAUGCAAGAAGAAAUUCAAGCAUUUGAAGCUAACAAAACUUGGGAGAUUGUAGAGUUUCCACUAGGGAAGAAAGCAAUUGGCUCAAAGUGGGUGUACAAAAUCAAAUACAAGGCCAAUGGUGAAGUUGACAGGUUCAAGGCACGCUUAGUGGCUAAGGGCUAUACACAAUAGGAAGGUUUUGAUUACCAAAGCAUACCAACACCAGGCUUAUUGAUUUAUCUUUAUAAAAGAAAACUAAAAGAAACACCCAGCUAGAUUAAAGUAUUCAUCAAAGAAAGACAAAGUGAAGUAAUAAAUUAGUCAUGGAUCAACCUUAAGUAAAGAGGCUAAAAUAAAAUAACAAUAACAAAGCAUAGGAUAGACUGGAUCCCGAAGAGUAGCGAUAAGAAACGGACCUUUUAGAAAGCCACAAAAGUCUGGAAAUAAGACCAGCAGCACGUUAACGGGAACCUCGCCGGAACUUUAGAUGGAUCUCUCAAACAGAAAUUCGACUAUCCUGAUCUAUCUUUUGUGACAUUACAGGGCUGAAACGGAGCUUCGUCGGCUGAAAAAAAUGGAGAAAUUGAUGACUGUUUGGGUCUUUUUUUAAAGCUGAUUUUAAUGGAAUCUCAAAUGGGUUUAAGGUGAUAUAUGUGAAGUGAUAUGGGUUGAAAACUCUUUCGUUUCUUUUUGUUUUCCACCCCUAAUUUUUGUGCAAAGAAUCCCUUUUAUGUUCUGUGUGUGGUCUCUUUGUCUCUGAAGUUGGAGAAUUAAUUUUUUGAGAGUAUUUUGUUUCUUCUUUGGGAAAUUGGGUCAGAGGAUGAUGGGUGUCGCUUGCCUCUAUUCCAAGAAUGGGUGAGGCCGAUUUUUAUGGGGAAUGAGGGUCUGCCCUUUUUGUCUUCUUUCUUUUUCAAAGUGAAAGAGAUGGGGUUUUGCUGAAGGGUGAAGGACGCCAUUUUUUCUUUUUGGGAAUCGGGGUUCGUCCUUAGCCUUAGGAAAUUAGGUUAAGUCAAAUGUGGAA
rnacentral:lncRNA from 1 species